rnacentral:tRNA from 3 species
GGAGUGGUAUCGAAGUGGUCGCAACGAGCUUGACUCGAAAUCAAGUUGUCCGCAAGGGCACGUGGGUUCGAAUCCCACCCACUCCGCCA